AGUGGCGGACGGGUGAGUGACGCGUGAGAAUCUGCCUUGGGGUCGGGGACAACCACUGGAAACGGUGGCUAAUACCGGAUAAGCCGAUUGGUGAAAGAUUUAUUGCCCGAAGAGGAGCUCGCGUCUGAUUAGCUAGUUGGUGAGGUAAGAGCUCACCAAGGCAGCGAUCAGUAGCUGGUCUGAGAGGACGAUCAGCCACACUGGGACUGAGACACGGCCCAGACUCCUACGGGAGGCAGCAGUGGGGAAUUUUCCGCAAUGGGCGAAAGCCUGACGGAGCAAGACCGCGUGAGGGAGGAAGGCUCUUGGGUUGUAAACCUCUUUUCUCAGGGAAGAAGCUCUGACGGUACCUGAGGAAUCAGCCUCGGCUAACUCCGUGCCAGCAGCCGCGGUAAUACGGAGGAGGCAAGCGUUAUCCGGAAUUAUUGGGCGUAAAGCGUCCGCAGGUGGCGAUUCAAGUCUGCUGUCAAAGCACGGGGCUUAACUCCGUAAAGGCAGUGGAAACUGAAUAGCUAGAGUGCCGUAGGGGUAGAGGGAAUUCCCGGUGUAGCGGUGAAAUGCGUAGAGAUCGGGAAGAACAUCGGUGGCGAAAGCGCUCUACUGGACGGCAACUGACACUCAGGGACGAAAGCUAGAGGAGCGAAUGGGAUUAGAUACCCC
rnacentral:rRNA from 1 species